UGAGGUAGUAGUUUGUGCUGUUGGUCGGGUCGUGACAUUGCCCGUUGUGGAGAUAACUGCGCAAGCUACUGCCUUGC
rnacentral:pre_miRNA from 1 species